GAAUAAGGUGAAGGUGGAUACCGCUCAUCAAGAGCUUGGUUAAGUGUCCAAGACCGUAUGCCUUGCUGGUUGGAUCUGAAUCUGCUCUAUAGUUAUCUAAUCUCUUUCUUUUUCCUACCUCCCCUACGAAGGGAAGUACAAAGGAAGCUGCUUCGAAGUUGAAGGGGCUCGUCCAUUCACUAUAUGUCUGUAAUCUCAUACAUAAAGAGGAAGAUUUGGUUGGAUCUGAAUCUGCUCUAUUGUUAUCUAAUCUCAUUCUUUUUCCUACCUCCCAUACGAAGGGAAGUACAAAGGAAGCUGCUCCGAAGUUGAAGGGGCUCGUGCAUUCACUAUAUGUCUGUAAUCUCAUACAUAUAGAGGAUGAUUAAAAACUCAUCGAUCUCCUUACCGAUCCGGGAGGGGGGGUCUUCAUUCACUCUUCUCUUACUUUCCCUACUUCUAGAAAAAAAAAAGAAAUGUUGAACAAAAACGAUCUUUCUAAAGUUAAGGCAGCAGAUCGGUCGGCUGCGGGACGGGGCCGGGAGCAGCAGUAGGAGAAGCGAUAAGCCCUUCAAUCUACUCCUCAAAGCAGGAAUGGAGGGCCGCUUUCUUAAUAAUUCAAAUAGAUAGUUCUGCUCACAUCAAGGGAAGCUCUUCAUUAACUGAGAAGCUCAUUGGCUCGCCUUUGACUCUAGCCUCUCAUUUAACUCGCUACUUCGUCAAUUUCUCAGUCCCUCGUGAGUGUGGCACGCACCUCUACAUCUUUUCCUUUUAAUAGUCAAAGGACUGCUGCUCAUAACUACUAGCUAUCCAUCUAGCCCACGAUAGCGAAGGCUCAAAAAAAGGAUUGAAUGAGGUCAUUAACAUUGAAUCAUCAUAAGGAAGUCAAGUAGUCUGUGACUGACUAGCUGACGCUUCUGCCUCUCCACUUUCCACGAGUAAUAAAUGUAACGAUACCUAUGAGAACUAGACAGCUAGAGCGAAAUACUUGUAGCGAGUAAAGAACGAUUUCACAAAGUUUAUAAUAAAAUAGUACGAGUUGUAAAAGCGUAAGAGCUAUAUAGAACCACCUUUGGCCGGUCUCACAUCUUCCCAUCCUCUACUUAGUUGUCUCAAUUACAUCGAUCCUGAACUACGUCCAUCCA
rnacentral:lncRNA from 1 species